CUUAAAUAAAAUAAAGAACCUUCAAAAAAAAAACUUAAAUAAAGAAAAAAAUAAAGAAAAAGGGGAAAGCGUUUCAACCCUCCAUCAACAAUGAAACUGAAAUCAGUUUCAAAUCACCAUAUACCCUCGGAACCACCAUCAAUACCCACGAAAUUGAAACCCUCCAUCAUCAAUUGAAAAUCGCGAAAUUGCUGUAGAAAGCUAGGUUCAUAGGCAAUCACUUAAGCAACAGCACGGAGCCGUCGAAUCAGGAUGACGGGCCCUAUGAGAUCAAAUUCUGGGAAAGAUGCCCCCUUAUAGUCUGUCCUAAUCCAGUGAGCUUGCGAUGUUGAUGUUAUAUGUCAGAGAAAAUAUAUGAGCUCCCCCACUCACCAGAAGUAAUGUACUAAUAUAAACAAGUGCAGGUACGCGACUGAGAGUAUUUCUUUGGCUUGCAAAUACGCAUACAAAAACACCCACCCAGGAAGAUACUUGAAGGUAUAGAUUCUUGGAUUUCUAUAUUCUUCCCUUGCUUAAGAACUGGAACUUUUGAGCAAUAUUCACCCAAUGUUUUCAGAAUAGUAGAAGUUGGAUAUAUGAAUUUACAAAAGUAGAUAGAACAUUCAUUGUGGAACGAAGAGAGUAUCUUUCGAUGAAUACUUUCUUUUGCGACUACAAACCGUGGAGAAGAGGUUAAUUAGUUGAAGGUGGAAUUCACUAGCUGCUACACUUAACCGAAUUUUCAUGGAGAAUCGCAAACAGAAGACAAACAUCUCUAGUUUUGAAAGAGUAUGAUAUCUUCCGUCAGGAAAUAGAACAUGAGCUUUCAAGCGAGCUUUAAACAAAAGGAGACAAGAUGAGACAGUCAAGUAAUGCAUUGAAGAUGUUGAAAAAUGUCUUCUAAAAAUAACGAAGCUAUCGAGCUUAGACAAACUUAAUCACUUUAGAAACAAGGUAAUCUCAGUAUCUAUCUAUUUUCCUUUCAACCUCUACACUUUAGAAACAAGGUUGGAACUUGGUUAUGACCGAGGUCAUAACAAUGCUGGAUCACAUACGGGCCCCACUUCCAAUGCAUAAGAAGGUGUCAGGCUGUACAUACCAGAGAAGACUGACUUCAAAUGAGCAACACCAACUACUCGCAUUAUAGCAGGUGAUUCUGAUUAGGGAGGCACCGCUUAUCGAAAGACAAAGAGUUGAUCCGAAAAAUGUGGCAUCAAUUAUAUUGCGAGGAGGUGCAUGAGCUCAACUAUUUCCUCAUACCAGCAGAACAAUACCUGUUGUAAGUAAAUUUGAAUUCACAAUACAGGUUAAUGUUGGAGGAUGCUACAAGCUUAUUGAUAUUCUGAUGAGUACUGUAUCAAUAGAGGUAUAUACAAUAUCCAUAUUAACUCCUAGGUAACUGCUUCAUUUACGCCUUAUACCAGCCGUGCAUCUGAUUAUGGAUUGAUGAAGAUAGACAGCAGAGGCCAAGUUGUCCAGUUUUAUUAACAAACCCAAGGGAGAUGACUUGGAAUCUAUGGUGACAAAGCCUUUAUAUUAUGUGGUUAUGUUUUCUUUGUUUAUACAACUGAAAAGAAUGAAGACUAAAUCAUUUUGAUGUCCGCUUUUCUACAGCAAGUGGACUCCCAAAUCCUUGGAUUAUCUCAAAAGAUGCAUCAAGUAACCCUUACAUUGUAUCCAUGGGAGUUUGUGUUUAAGACAGAUGUUCUACUUAAACUUUUAACGCACACAUACCCAAGAUCCAAUGAUUUUGGGUCUGAAAUUCUUACUUCUGCUGUGAAGGAUCAUAGUAUUCAGGUAUAAUUCUAAAAGAUGAUCUCUUUCUUGUGAA